rnacentral:rRNA from 1 species
UACGAGCACCCCGAGUGGUCGGGACGAUUAUUGGGCCUAAAGCAUCCGUAGCCGGUUCUGCAAGUCCCCCGUUAAAUCCAGCUGCUCAACAGAUGGGCCGCGGAGGAUACUACAGAGCUAGGAGGCAGGAGAGGCAAGCGGUACUCAGUGGGUAGGGGUAAAAUCCGUUGAUCCAUUGAAGACCACCAGUGGCGAAGGCGGCUUGCCAGAAUGCGCUCGACGGUGAGGGAUGAAAGCUGGGGGAGCAAACCGG